GACGUAGGGCGCGAGCGUUGUCCGGAUUUAUUGGGCGUAAAGAGCUCGUAGGCGGCUCGUUGCGUCGGCUGUGAAAACCCACAGCUUAACUGUGGGCCUGCAGCCGAUACGGGCGAGCUAGAGUUCGGUAGGGGAGACUGGAAUUCCUGGUGUAGCGGUGAAAUGCGCAGAUAUCAGGAGGAACACCGGUGGCGAAGGCGGCGUCCUGGACCAACACUGACACUGAUGAGCGAAAGCCAGGGGAGCAAACGGG
rnacentral:rRNA from 1 species